rfam:Myotis davidii contig58064, whole genome shotgun sequence.
GAGACACCCCUAUGGAUUAGGACUUGCUUCAGUGGGACUUUUGUGCUCACUGAGUCUGCCCCUUGAGUGUGUCACU